UUUACAACAUCUUUGUAUAUUUUUGAUUAGGUCAUUUUUGUGUAAAGAGAGACAUACAGUAGCAGUAGUAGCAAUCUACAGUUUUGGUAUAGUAAUUAUAUGACUACAUUAAGUGUUACCUCAUCAGUGCUAGCUUCUCAGUAAGCCUGACAGAAAAAUUACGGAACUUUCUGGACUUGUUAUAUGUCAUUAAAUUUUUAAUUUCCUAUGACAGCUUUGAAUUAAUCUAUCUUGUAAUCCUGGAAAAUUGAGUAUUCUCUCCCUGGUGAGUAAUACUGAAACUAUUGAGUAUUGACCACCUAUUUUGUGUCAACAAGCAGGGCUUCGGAGCGGUUUUGGGAGCCAUAUCUCGCAAUCUUGCAGAUCUUCAGGACCACCAAGAAAGCUAUGUAUCGAUAUAUGAUCAACCGGUUCUUCAUCUCCAGUUUACUUAAACUGCAGGCAGUGCAACCAACGAAGAAAUGAUUCACAAGGAGAAAGAAGAGAAGAAUUUCAGCAACGGAAGCUUAGUUGAAGUGAGCGGUGACGAGGAUGAUUCACAAGGGGUACACUGGCUUUGAUACUUAUAGAGGCAGCCAGAGGAGGGAAGAAGCUCCCUAUGGAAGUGGAGCAGAAAAUAAUGACUUCGGGUAUCACAUUAGUCUUGUUCCUUGGGGUAUAUCUUAUUAUCCGUGACACUCUAAAUCUUGAUAUCAUCAAAGAUAUGUUGUGAUUGUGAUUGAGAUCAAGUUCAGUUCAUUGAGGAACCCUAUCCUAGCUAAAAGAUCAAUUCACUUUGAUUAGUAGAGUGACUAAUCUAUGUGGGCUGCAUUUCUAAAGUCUUUGGUGACUCAAAUAUUUAGUUUUGUUCCAGAUUUUUGUUGUGGAGUUUAAAUUAGUGUACAUGUAAUUAUAUGAGAUUUGUAUUACAUUUUGUUCCAAGUAUACUAGAAUUUAGUUCUCGAAUUAUUUUUUCACUUGUAUCUACAUUUAUUAUCAAUAAUAAUUGAAUUUAUUAA